rnacentral:rRNA from 1 species
UGAACGCUGGCGGCAUGCCUUACACAUGCAAGUCGAACGGCAGCACGGGUGCUUGCACCUGGUGGCGAGUGGCGAACGGGUGAGUAAUACAUCGGAACAUGUCCUGUAGUGGGGGAUAGCCCGGCGAAAGCCGGAUUAAUACCGCAUACGAUCUACGGAUGAAAGCGGGGGACCUUCGGGCCUCGCGCUAUAGGGUUGGCCGAUGGCUGAUUAGCUAGUUGGUGGGGUAAAGGCCUACCAAGGCGACGAUCAGUAGCUGGUCUGAGAGGACGACCAGCCACACUGGGACUGAGACACGGCCCAGACUCCUACGGGAGGCAGCAGUGGGGAAUUUUGGACAAUGGGCGAAAGCCUGAUCCAGCAAUGCCGCGUGUGUGAAGAAGGCCUUCGGGUUGUAAAGCACUUUUGUCCGGAAAGAAAUCCUUGGCUCUAAUACAGUCGGGGGAUGACGGUACCGGAAGAAUAAGCACCGGCUAACUACGUGCCAGCAGCCGCGGUAAUACGUAGGGUGCGAGCGUUAAUCGGAAUUACUGGGCGUAAAGCGUGCGCAGGCGGUUUGCUAAGACCGAUGUGAAAUCCCCGGGCUCAACCUGGGAACUGCAUUGGUGACUGGCAGGCUAGAGUAUGGCAGAGGGGGGUAGAAUUCCACGUGUAGCAGUGAAAUGCGUAGAGAUGUGGAGGAAUACCGAUGGCGAAGGCAGCCCCCUGGGCCAAUACUGACGCUCAUGCACGAAAGCGUGGGGAGCAAACAGGAUUAGAUACCCUGGUAGUCCACGCCCUAAACGAUGUCAACUAGUUGUUGGGGAUUCAUUUCCUUAGUAACGUAGCUAACGCGUGAAGUUGACCGCCUGGGGAGUACGGUCGCAAGAUUAAAACUCAAAGGAAUUGACGGGGACCCGCACAAGCGGUGGAUGAUGUGGAUUAAUUCGAUGCAACGCGAAAAACCUUACCUACCCUUGACAUGGUCGGAAUCCCGCUGAGAGGUGGGAGUGCUCGAAAGAGAACCGGCGCACAGGUGCUGCAUGGCUGUCGUCACCUCGUGUCGUGAGAUGUUGGGUCCCCGCCCCGCAACGAGCGCAACCCUUGUCCUUAGUUGCUACGCAAGAGCACUCUAAGGAGACUGCCGGUGACAAACCGGAGGAAGGUGGGGAUGACGUCAAGUCCUCAUGGCCCUUAUGGGUAGGGCUUCACACGUCAUACAAUGGUCGGAACAGAGGGUUGCCAACCCGCGAGGGGGAGCUAAUCCCAGAAAACCGAUCGUAGUCCGGAUUGCACUCUGCAACUCGAGUGCAUGAAGCUGGAAUCGCUAGUAAUCGCGGAUCAGCAUGCCGCGGUGAAUACGUUCCCGGGUCUUGUACACACCGCCCGU